GGUAAAUGGUGAAUGGGAGGGACAGAGUCCUCCACUAGUGGUAUUGACAACCUGUUAGGGAAAGCAAACACUUCAACAAUCUGCUGAAAGAGUGAUAAGAGAUCCGAGACUCAAACAGUCCUGAGUCUUGCCUCUGGCCCCACAGCUGGAGAGAGAGCUGGUCAAGAGCAAGCGGCUCAGAGGGAGAGCUUUGCAGUCAGACAACCUGCUGCUCCCCAGUUGCAGGUCCUUCUAGUUGUGGGAUGUGGGAUGCCGCCUCAACGUGGCCUGACGAGCAGUGCCAUGUCCGCGCUCAGGAUCCGAACCCUGGGCCGCCGCAGUGGAGUGUGCGAACUUAACCAGUUGGCCACAGAGCUGGCCCCCGAAGGGUUUCUUCUUUUUCUGCCUGAAGAUCUACAGAGGCCUGGACUUGCAAUUGGAAUCGCCCUAGCACUCAGGAGCCUGGACGGGCCUGGGAGGCAGAAAGAGACAGAUGAAGAUGUGGAUUAGGUCCAUUAUCCCUCAGCAUAUGUCGACGUUAAUAAGUGUGUUCUAUGUAGAUUCAUUAAUCCACUUUUCGGAAUUGAAAAUGAGUAUUUCAGAUGCUUAAUGUGAUAGCCUAGAUGCUCUGAGAUCCAAGUCCCCCUGGACACAAUGUUCUUUAAUCUUUUUAAAUGAUCUGUAAUGGAACCUUCGGGUAUGUAAUAGAGAACACAGUCUGUUAUGACUUAUUGACAAGAUUUUCUAAGAAGGGACUCAUUAAAAAAUGUCCCAAAUGAUAUAACUGAAGCUUAUUUUCUUUACUCCAUGGUGAUGUUUUGAAAUGUAACUUUAAAUGGUUCUGCCUUUGUAAAAUUUUUUUUAAAAAGAGAGCAACGUUCUGAUUUUAAUAUAUAUGUUAGCAAAACAAUUUAAAAUAUCUAAGAUGAUCUGUAUGAAAUCUUGUACACUGUUGGAAUUGAGCUGAACCUUGGGUAUAUCUAGUUUGCAUCUGUUUUCAGAAAAGAAAAUUGAGACCUUGAAAGGUAAGUGACUUGUCCAAUGUUACACCGCAAGUUUGGGGUACAAAUGUGACAAAAAUCCAGCUCUACUGAUAGGCAGAACCAUGUGCCGCUCACGAAGCUAUGCUUCAAACUAGCCCAGUGCAAUUCUAAGUUUGCUGUGUAAAACUGCAGACUUGGAAGUAGUAAUCAGAAAAGGGAAAUUCUUUAUUUAGCAAACAGGAGAGGGGUUAGGAGCACAGGCUUUGUGAUGGGAUUCUGUAAGCUUGGGCAGAUUAUCUGCCUCUCUACGUCUCACCUUUUUCAUCUAUGCAAGGGGAUGAAUAAAUGCACCAAGAUGGUAGGACUAUUGUGAGGAUUAAGUGGUGUAAGGCAGGUAAACACAGUAAAUGUUGUUAUUUGAUUGUUAUUAUUUUGUUGAUUUUCGUGUAGGACAACAUGAAUGUUUGCAGAGAAUCUUGCUUCUCUGCUCCAGUUGAUGGCAAAUUCCUAUUUCUUAGCCUGUCAAAUGCUAGACUUUGUGAAAUCUAAGAAAAGCGUAUAUUCCCUCACCACCCAACAUCAACACCCUUUUGGUGAAUUAUUUUCUGUGUUUGAGAUUGAAGGCUAAAAGCUACUCCUAAAGGAGCCGAAGAGUUGGCCAAUUCCCUUCAACAAACAUUUACUGAGCAUCUCUGUAAACAGAAGCAGAUGUGGUUCUACCCUCCAGGGGCUCCUAAAAUGGUAGCAAAGGUAGACAUCUCUAAGUGUCUCUGAUACAGGCUUUAAGACAAGUGUUCUUAUAGAAGGACAAAUAAAGCCAUGUGGGAAAUGAUCUUAUGGAGUGAGAGAAUUAUUCUAAUGGAACACAUGGUAAGAUCUCUGAGAGGUAGGAUCUGGUUCAAAUUUUAAAGAUCUUCAACAAGUAUAUCUUCAACAAGUGUUGUGGUAAGCAGCUUCUAAGAUAGCCCCCAACAAUGCUCACCUUCUGUUACGCGGCCUUGUGUGAUCCCCUCUGCUUGAGAAACUUGCUUCCAUAAAAUACCACAAUAUUGAGGAGAAUUCACUUCCAUGAUUAGAUUAUGAAAGAUUCUGACUUCCAUCUUGACAACUCCCUUCAUUGAUUUUUUUUUUUUUAAAGAUUUACUUUUUCCUUUUUCUCCCCAAAGUCCCCC
ensembl:lncRNA